rnacentral:misc_RNA from 1 species
AACAUCUUGCUUUGAGAUUACCAACAAUCAGUGCAUAGGCAAGUUUCUCAUAAAAAUAACAUGAUUAACAAAAGUAGAUACAGAGCUUAAGGUUGAGUUUUGCUAUAAGAUGUCGAUUUUAUAAAGCAAAAAUUAUAAAUGAAUUUUCUUGUUGCCUUCAAGAGGGAAAAAGUAAAGUAUGGAGAGGCGAUAACAUAAGUGAUCCUUGAUGAGGUGAAUAUGCACUAAUUAAGCAAAUGCAUACUAUGCCAUGAAUAACCAAAACAUCAAAGGAGACCAAUUAUAAGCCUCAUGUUACCCAGACAAUCAAUAAUAAUGAUUUGCAGGCAAGAAACCAAGCCCAAAAGAAGCAAUUUUGAAAUGUGGUAGAUACUAGAAUUUUGAAGUAGGUUCAAAAUAAAAAUAUAUCACAAAACCUUCGAAGGUCCAGCAGCAUGAAGAAUAUUACAAGCUUCAAGACCAUCUUUUUCAGUCACAAU